GAUGAAUCUGCUGAAUUCAUUCAUUUAAUUUGAUUCACUCCUUUUUCUUGUAGGUAUGGCCUCACAUGUGCAAGUCUUCUCCCCUCACACCCUUCAAUCAAGUGCCUUCUGUAGUGUGAAGAAACUGAAAGUAGAGCCGCGUUCCACCUGGGACAUGACUGGGUACGGCUCCCACAGCAAAGUGUAUAGCCAGAGCAAGAACAUACCACCUUCUCAGCCAGCCACUACAACCGUCAGCACCUCCUUGCCAAUCCCAAACCCAAGCCUACCUUACGAGCAGACCAUCAUCUUCCCAGGAAGCACCGGGCACAUAGUUGUAACAUCCGCAAGUAGCACUUCUGUCACUGGGCAAGUCCUCGGCGGACCACAUAACCUAAUGCGUCGAAGCACUGUGAGCCUUCUUGAUACCUACCAAAAAUGUGGACUCAAGCGUAAGAGUGAGGAGAUUGAGAACACGAGCAGCGUGCAGAUCAUCGAAGAGCAUCCACCCAUGAUUCAGAAUAAUGCGAGUGGGGCCACUGUAGCCACCGCCACCACAUCGACUGCCACCUCCAAAAACAGUGGUUCCAACAGCGAAGGUGAUUACCAGCUGGUCCAGCAUGAGGUGCUGUGCUCCAUGACCAACACUUACGAAGUUUUAGAAUUCCUGGGCCGAGGGACGUUUGGGCAAGUGGUCAAGUGCUGGAAGCGGGGCACCAAUGAAAUCGUGGCCAUCAAGAUCCUGAAGAACCAUCCGUCGUAUGCCCGGCAGGGUCAGAUCGAGGUGAGCAUCCUGGCCCGCUUGAGCACAGAGAGUGCCGACGACUACAACUUUGUCCGCGCCUACGAGUGCUUCCAGCACAAGAACCACACGUGCUUGGUGUUUGAGAUGUUGGAGCAGAACCUCUAUGACUUUCUGAAGCAGAACAAGUUUAGCCCCUUGCCCCUCAAAUACAUUCGCCCAGUCCUCCAGCAGGUAGCCACAGCCCUGAUGAAACUGAAAAGCCUAGGUCUCAUCCAUGCCGACCUCAAACCAGAAAACAUCAUGCUGGUAGAUCCUUCUAGGCAGCCGUACAGAGUAAAGGUCAUCGACUUCGGCUCGGCCAGUCACGUGUCCAAGGCUGUGUGUUCCACCUACUUGCAGUCCAGAUAUUACAGGUAAGACCGCUUGCCCCGACGCAGGAGAUGCCGAGUGCCCCCCUGGCGUUCACAGAGAGUG